UACGGUAGGGGGCAAGCGUUGUCCGGAUUUAUUGGGCGUAAAGAGCGUGUAGGCGGCCAGGUAGGUGGGUUGUGAAAACUGGAGGCUCAACCUUCAGACGUCGACCCAAACCCCCUGGCUAGAGUCCGGAAGAGGAGAGUGGAAUUCCUGGUGUAGCGGUGAAAUGCGCAGAGAUCCGGAGGAACCCCAGAGGCGAAGGCGGCGUCCUGGCUCGAUGACUGACACUCAGACACGACAGCAUGGGGAGCGAACGGG
rnacentral:rRNA from 1 species